AGUGAAAACUCAUAAUACAUAUAACGUAUCUAGGUCUUAUCACAAUCUUAGUUGAGUACAAGUUAAUGUACAAAGGAAUGCAUAUGACACGAAAGGAGUAUUACUAGGGUAACACGGGCUGGUAGGAAACGGUAGCAUGAACAUAGUAAGCACUUUGAUUGUCAAAAAAUGAAAGUUCUGUUCGCCUAAGGAAGAGGAACAAUAUAAUGCAGCGAAAC